GAUGAACGCUGGCGGCGUGCCUAAUACAUGCAAGUCGAGCGAACAGAUAAGGAGCUUGCUCCUUUGACGUUAGCGGCGGACGGGUGAGUAACACGUGGAUAACCUACCUAUAAGACUGGGAUAACUUCGGGAAACCGGAGCUAAUACCGGAUAAGAUUUUGAACCGCAUGGUUCAAUAGUGAAAGACGGCCUUGCUGUCACUUAUAGAUGGAUCCGCGCCGUAUUAGCUAGUUGGUAAGGUAACGGCUUACCAAGGCAACGAUACGUAGCCGACCUGAGAGGGUGAUCGGACACACUGGAACUGAGACACGGUCCAGACUCCUACGGGAGGCAGCAGUAGGGAAUCUUCCGCAAUGGGCGAAAGCCUGACGGAGCAACGCCGCGUGAGUGAUGAAGGUCUUCGGAUCGUAAAACUCUGUUAUCAGGGAAGAACAAACGUGUAAGUAACUGUGCACGUCUUGACGGUACCUGAUCAGAAAGCCACGGCUAACUACGUG
rnacentral:rRNA from 1 species